rnacentral:rRNA from 1 species
GAUGAACGCUGGCGGCGUGCUUUACACAUGCAAGUCGAACGAGAAAUGUAGACGGAAACCUUCGGGCGGAAGCCUUCAUUUCGAGUGGCGGACGGGUGAGUAACGCGUGGGUAACCUGCCUCAUACAGGGGGAUAACAGUUGGAAACGACUGUUAAUACCGCAUAAGACCACAGCAUCGCAUGAUGCGGGGGUAAAAACUCCGGUGGUAUGAGAUGGACCCGCGUUCGAUUAGCCAGUUGGCGGGGUAACGGCCCACCAAAGCGACGAUCGAUAGCCGAUCUGAGAGGAUGACCGGACACAGUGGGAGUGAGACACGGCCGAAAAUAAUACGGGAGGCAGCAGUGGGGAAUAUUGAACAAUGGGGGAAACACUGAUGCAGCGACGCCGCGUGAGUGAAGAAGUACGUAGGUAUGUAAAGCUCUAUCAGCAGGGAAGAAAAUGACGGUACCUGAGUAAGAAGCCCCGGCUAACUACGUG